rnacentral:rRNA from 1 species
UACGUAGGGCGCAAGCGUUGUCCGGAAUUAUUGGGCGUAAAGAGCUCGUAGGCGGUUUGUCACGUCGGAUGUGAAAGCCCGGGGCUUAACUCCGGGUCUGCAUUCGAUACGGGCAGACUAGAGUGUGGUAGGGGAGACUGGAAUUCCUGGUGUAGCGGUGAAAUGCGCAGAUAUCAGGAGGAACACCGAUGGCGAAGGCAGGUCUCUGGGCAUUAACUGACGCUGAGGAGCGAAAGCAUGGGGAGCGAACAGG